AUGCUUGCCUCGGCAGCACAUAUACUAAAAUUGGAACGAUACAGAGAAAACUAGCAUGGCCCCUGCGCAAGAAUGACACGCAAAUUCGUGAAGUGUUCCAUAUUUAA
ensembl:snRNA RNU6-222P RNA, U6 small nuclear 222, pseudogene